GGGUGCAUGGCGCAGCGGUAGCGCGCCUCAUUCGCGAGCAGGUUUUGAGGCGGUCUGGGGUUCAAAUCCUCAUGCAUCCA